rnacentral:rRNA from 1 species
GACGAACGCUGGCUGCGUGCUUAACACAUGCAAGUCGAACGGAAAGGCCCUGCUUUUGUGGGGUGCUCGAGUGGCGAACGGGUGAGUAACACGUGAGUAACCUGCCCUUGACUUUGGGAUAACUUCAGGAAACUGGGGCUAAUACCGGAUAGGAGCUCCUGCUGCAUGGUGGGGGUUGGAAAGUUUCGGCGGCUGGGGAUGGACUCGCGGCUUAUCAGCUUGUUGGUGGGGUAGUGGCUUACCAAAGCUUUGACGGGUAGCCGGCCUGAGAGGGUGACCGGCCACAUUGGGACUGAGAUACGGCCCAGACUCCUACGGGAGGCAGCAGUGGGGAAUAUUGCACAAUGGGCGGAAGCCUGAUGCAGCAACGCCGCGUGCGGGAUGACAGCCUUCGGGUUGUAAACCGCUUUCGCCUGUGACGAAGCGUGAGUGACGGUAAUGGGUAAAGAAGCACCGGCUAACUACGUGCCAGCAGCCGCGGUGAUACGUAGGGUGCGAGCGUUGUCCGGAUUUAUUGGGCGUAAAGGGCUCGUAGGUGGUUGAUCGCGUCGGAAGUGUAAUCUUGGGGCUUAACCCUGAGCGUGCUUUCGAUACGGGUUGACUUGAGGAAGGUAGGGGAGAAUGGAAUUCCUGGUGGAGCGGUGGAAUGCGCAGAUAUCAGGAGGAACACCAGUGGCGAAGGCGGUUCUCUGGGCCUUUCCUGACGCUGAGGAGCGAAAGCGUGGGGAGCGAACAGGCUUAGAUACCCUGGUAGUCCACGCUGUAAACGGUGGGUACUAGGUGUGGGGUCCAUUCCACGGGUUCCGUGCCGUAGCUAACGCUUUAAGUACCCCGCCUGGGGAGUACGGCCGCAAGGCUAAAACUCAAAGGAAUUGACGGGGCCCCGCACAAGCGGCGGAGCAUGCGGAUUAAUUCGAUGCAACGCGUAGAACCUUACCUGGGUUUGACAUGGAUCGGGAGUGCUCAGAGAUGGGUGUGCCUCUUUUGGGGUCGGUUCACAGGUGGUGCAUGGCUGUCGUCAGCUCGUGUCGUGAGAUGUUGGGUUAAGUCCCGCAACGAGCGCAACCCUUGUUCACUGUUGCCAGCACGUUAUGGUGGGGACUCAGUGGAGACCGCCGGGGUCAACUCGGAGGAAGGUGGGGAUGACGUCAAGUCAUCAUGCCCCUUAUGUCCAGGGCUUCACGCAUGCUACAAUGGCUGGUACAGAGAGUGGCGAGCCUGUGAGGGUGAGCGAAUCUCGGAAAGCCGGUCUCAGUUCGGAUUGGGGUCUGCAACUCGACCUCAUGAAGUCGGAGUUGCUAGUAAUCGCAGAUCAGCAACGCUGCGGUGAAUACGUUCCCGGGGCU